ACCACGUGGAGAGGAGGCUCUCGGAGAUCGGCUGACGGCGUAGGGAGAAGGCUCUCUGGUCGGCUGACCGCCUGGAGAGGAGGCUGUGGGAGGUUGGCUGAUCCCCUGGGGAGGAGGCUCUGGCAGGUCGGCCGACCAUGUUGGGAGGAGGCUCUUGGAGUUACACGUUGUCUUCAGAAAAAGAGAUUCCCCAGAGCCCCACACAGUGCCUGGCAAAUGUAGCAUGACACAAUUCCUUCAAGACUUCCCAGCCUGCAGGAGGGAGUCGCUGGCUAAACCUGGAUACAGGCCGGGAUGCUACAACUUGCUGGUUGCUCAACUCUAGAUGGUCAACUGUCCGUUCCCAGAGCUUUGGUUUCCUCAUGCUGGCAGAUCAUCACUGAUGUCCAUUCCUUCCAGGUGUUUAGUUCGUAGGCCAGUCCUGAGUUGUUGAGUGAGAAAGUAGGAAGAGUACGCAGUGAUAACAUGAGGAGCAGAACAGAAGACUCUUUUGUGUGACCUGGAACCAAAGGUCAUCAUGCUGGGGCAGAGUGUGGAUAGGAGGCAGAAGGGACUACAUUUCAUGAGCACUUGUUAUAUAUAAGAAGUGUUAUUGGCUGGGCGCGGUGGCUCACGCCUAUAAUCCCAACACUUUGGGAGGCCGAGGCAUGAGGAUCACCUGAGGUCGAGAGUUCGAGACCUCGAGACCAGUCUGGCCAACAUGGUGAAACCCUGUCUCUAUUAAAAAUACAAAAAUGAGCUGCGCGUGGUGGUGUAUGCCUGUAAUCCCAGCUACUUGGGAGACUGAGCAGGAGAAUCGCUUGAACCCAGGAGGCAGAGGUUGUGGUGAGCUGAGAACAUACCAUUGCACUCCAACCUGGGCGACAGAGCAAAACUCUGUCAAAAAGAAAAAAAAAAAAAAAAAAGAAGUGUUAUUGAUGUAUAAUAAAAGCUAAUGUCUGCUGUGCCCCUUU